rnacentral:rRNA from 1 species
UUAUUAUAGCAAAGAGGAUACACCUGUUCCCAUUCCGAACACAGAAGUUAAGCUCUUUAGCGCUGAUGGUACUUGGUGGGUGACCGCCUGGGAGAGUAAGA